rnacentral:rRNA from 1 species
CGGACGGGUGAGUAAUGCUUGGGAAUCCAGCUUAUGGAGGGGGAUAACUACGGGAAACUGUAGCUAAUACCGCGUAAUAUCGGAAGAUUAAAGUGUGGGACCUUCGGGCCACAUGCCAUAGGAUGAGCCCAAGUGGGAUUAGGUAGUUGGUGAGGUAAAGGCUCACCAAGCCGACGAUCUCUAGCUGGUCUGAGAGGAUGACCAGCCACACUGGGACUGAGACACGGCCCAG